rnacentral:rRNA from 1 species
UGGACAGUAUGGGAGUGAGAAUGUUGGCAUGAGUAGCGAGAUGUGGGUGAGAAUCCCACAGGCCGUAAACCCAAGGUUUCCAGGGGAAGGUUCGUCCGCCCUGGGUUAGUCGGGACCUAAGCUGAGGCCGAAAGGCGUAGGUGAUGGACAACAGGUUGAUAUUCCUGUACUACCGAUAACCGUUUGAGAGAAGGGAUGACACAGUAGGAUAAGCUAAGCACACUGUUGGUUAUGUGUGCCCAAGCAUUGAGGCAGUCAAAGUAGGCAAAUCCGCUUUGAUAAUGCUGGGAUGUGAUGGGGAGCGAAAUUUAGUAGCGAAGUAGCUGAUUUCACACUGUCAAGAAAAGUCUCUAUCGAGGUUAAAGGUACCCGUACCGCAAACCGACACAGGUGGGUGAGGAGAGUAUCCUAAGGCCAGCGAGAGAACUGUUGUUAAGGAACUCGGCAAAAUGACCCCGUAACUUAGGGAUAAGGGGUGCCACCAUCAGGUGGCCGCAGAGAAUAGGCCCAAGCGACUGUUUACCAAAAACAUAGGUUUCUGCUAAGUCGCAAGACGAUGUAUAGGAGCUGACGCCUGCCCGGUGCUGGAAGGUUAAGGGGAUCUGUUAGAGCAAUCGAAGCAGUGAACUUAAGCCCCAGUAAACGGCGGCCGUAACUAUAACGGUCCUAAGGUAGCGAAAUUCCUUGUCGGGUAAGUUCCGACCCGCACGAAAGGCGUAACGAUUUGGGCACUGUCUCAACAACAGACUCGGUGAAAUUGUAAUUCCGGUGAAGAUGCCGGAUACCUGCGACAGGACGGAAAGACCCCAUGGAGCUUUACUGUAGCUUGACAUUGGGUCUUGGUACUACAUGUACAGGAUAGGUGGGAGGCUUUGAAACCAGGACGCCAGUUUUGGCGGAGCCAUCCUUGGGAUACCACCCUUGUAGUACUGGGACUCUAACCAUAGGCCAUGAAUCUGGUCUUGGGACACUGUCAGGUGGGCAGUUUGACUGGGGCGGUCGCCUCCCAAAAGGUAACGGAGGCGCUCAAAGGUUCUCUCAGUACGGUCGGAAAUCGUACGUAGAGUGUAAAGGCAAAAGAGAGCUUGAUUGCAAGACAUACAGGUCGAGCAAGGAUGAAAAUCGGACUUAGUGAUCCGGUGGUUCUGCGUGGAAGGGCCAUCGCUCAACGGAUAAAAGCUACCCUGGGGAUAACAGGCUUAUCUCCCCCAAGAGUCCACAUCGACGGGGAGGUUUGGCACCUCGAUGUCGGCUCAUCACAUCCUGGGGCUGUAGUAGGUCCCAAGGGUUGGGCUGUUCGCCCAUUAAAGUGGUACGCGAGCUGGGUUCAGAACGUCGUGAGACAGUUCGGUCCCUAUCCGUCGCAGGCGUAGGAAAUUUGAGAAGACCUGUCCUUAGUACGAGAGGACCGGGAUGGACG